GAUGAACGCUGGCGGCGUGCCUAAUACAUGCAAGUCGAGCGAACAGACGAGGAUCUUGCUCCUCUGACGUUAGCGGCGGACGGGUGCGUAACACGUGGAUAACCUCCCUAUAUGACUGGGAUAACUUCUAGACACCGGAGCUAAUACCGGAUAAUAUAUUGAACCUCAUGGUUCAAUCGUGAAUGACGGUUUUGCUGUCACUUCUAGAUCGAUCCGCGCCGCAUUUGCUAGUUGGUACGGUAACGGCUUACCAAGUCAACGAUCCGUAGCCGACCUAGGAGGUUGAUCGGCGAUGCUGGAACUGAGACACGGUCCAGACUCGGACGGGAGGCAGCAGUAGGGAAUCAUCCGAGAUAGGCGAGAGCAUGACGCAGCAACGCGGCGUGAGUGAAGAAGGUCUUGGGAUCGGGAAGCUGAGGGAUUAGGGGUGGAGAACUGCGUAAGCAGCAGAAGAAGUCUUGACGGUACCUAAGGAGAAAGCAACGGCUAACUACGUG
rnacentral:rRNA from 1 species